UACACCGCUCUGGACCUUCAUCCUGACGACUUCAUCCUCCCUCCCUGAUAGUCAGAAAUACUCAGGAUCAGAUUUGCACCUGCCCCCCUGCUUUAGGGGUGGCACAGGCAUUUUGGGUGGUGUUUGGAUCCCAGUGACUCUGGUAUCUCUGCUGGACCCUUUAACAAUCAGAGCCAAGCAUCCCUUGCAGCUGUGUCCAGUGCUCCCUGUGAGACAGCGUUUGGCCACAGCUGGGGACAAGCGAACAAGGAACCCAACUGACACAUUUGGAUGUGUGAAAGACCUCUGCCUGUGCUCUAGGAAUACUUAGACCCCAAUUCUUCUGAGACAUCUUGGAUCAAGAGGAUUCAGCCCAAAAAGCAUCAGGUGUAUGAGUGAGGAAUAUUGAACUCCAGUCCUCUAAGGACAGAGAGGAAGGAGAAGAAAUAUGGCCCCAAACUCAUGCAUGGCCAGGCUGGUUGAUGGAUCCUCAUGGUCCUCCUUGGAAUGUACCUUCUGCUCAAAUGAGGACUUUGGGACUAAAGAAACCCCAGGUGAU